AUCGCUUCUCGGCCUUUUGGCUAAGAUCAAGUGUAGUAUCUGUUCUUAUCAGUUUAAUAUCUGAUACGUCCCCUACCCGGGGGGACUACAUAUUAAAUUGAUUUUUGGAUCACGGAGCUGGAGCCGGGGCUUGCUCCGUCCACUCCACGCAUCGGCCUGGUAUUGCAGUGUCUCCAGGAACGGUGCGCUUCCU